rnacentral:rRNA from 2 species
GUAUAAGCAAUUAUACGGCGAAACUGCGAAUGGCUCAUUAUAUAAGUUAUCGUUUAUUUGAUAAUACUUUACUACUUGGAUAACCGUGGUAAUUCUAGAGCUAAUACAUGCUAAAAAUCCCGACUUCGGAAGGGUUGUAUUUAUUAGAUUAAAAACCAAUGCCCUCUGGGCUCUCUGGUGAAUCAUAAUAACUUGUCGAAUCGCAAGGCCUUGUGCCGGCGAUGGCUCAUUCAAAUUUCUUCCCUAUCAACUUUCGAUGUUUGGGUAUUGGCCAAACAUGGUGGCAACGGGUAACGGAGGGUUAGGGCUCGACCCCGGAGAAGGAGCCUGAGAAACGGCUACUACAUCCAAGGAAGGCAGCAGGCGCGCAAAUUACCCAAUCCCGACACGGGGAGGUAGUGACAAUAAAUACUGAUACAGGGCUCUUAUGGGUCUUGUAAUCGGAAUGAGUACAAUUUAAAUCCCUUAACGAGGAACAAUUGGAGGGCAAGUCUGGUGCCAGCAGCCGCGGUAAUUCCAGCUCCAAUAGCGUAUAUUAAAGUUGUUGUGGUUAAAAAGCUCGUAGUUGAACCUUGGGCCUGGCUGGCCGGUCCGCCUCACCGCGUGCACUGGUCCGGCCGGGCCUUUCCCUCUGUGGAACCUCAUGCCCUUCACUGGGUGUGACGGGGAAACAGGACUUUUACUUUGAAAAAAUUAGAGUGCUCCAGGCAGGCCUAUGCUCGAAUACAUUAGCAUGGAAUAAUAAAAUAGGACGUGUGGUUCUAUUUUGUUGGUUUCUAGGACCGCCGUAAUGAUUAAUAGGGACAGUCGGGGGCAUCAGUAUUCAAUUGUCAGAGGUGAAAUUCUUGGAUUUAUUGAAGACUAACUACUGCGAAAGCAUUUGCCAAGGAUGUUUUCAUUAAUCAGGAACGAAAGUUAGGGGAUCGAAGACGAUCAGAUACCGUCGUAGUCUUAACCAUAAACUAUGCCGACUAGGGAUCGGACGAUGUUAUAUUCUUGACGCGUUCGGCACCUUACGAGAAAUCAAAGUGCUUGGGCUCCAGGGGGAGUAUGGUCGCAAGGCUGAAACUUAAAGAAAU